rnacentral:misc_RNA from 1 species
AGCAGCCGCGGUAAUUCCAGCUCCAAUAGCGUAUAUUAAAGUUGUUGCAGUUAAAAAGCUCGUAGUUGAAUUUCGGGAUCAAUAUGUUGGUCGUGCCUCGGUACGUACUAGCUUAUUGGUUUCUCCUUUCUGAAGAACCAUGAUGUCAUUUAUUUGGUGUCGUGGGGAAUCAGGACUGUUACUUUGAAAAAUUAGAGUGUUUAAAGCAGGCUCACGCUUGAAUACAUUAGCAUGGAAUAAUGAAAUAGGACGUUUGAUUCUAUUUUGUUGGUUUCUAGGAUCGACGUAAUGAUUAAUAGGGAUAGUUGGGGGCAUUAGUAUUCAAUUGUCAGAGGUGAAAUUCUUGGAUUUAUUGAAGACUAACUACUGCGAAAGCAUUUGCCAAGGAUGUUUUCAUUAAUCAAGAACGAAAGUUAGGGGAUCGAAGACGAUCAGAUACCGUCGUAGUCUUAACCAUAAACUAUGCCG